rnacentral:misc_RNA from 1 species
UGACGAUCAUGAUAAUAUGAAGGACGGUGAGAGGGUGAUGCUUUGCCUAAAGCGCGCAUUAAGAAUAGCAAAUGCUGCUCAGCAAAUGUCAAAUGCAACAAGGGGUAGCACUGGGCCAGUCUCUCUUUUCAUUGAGAUACUGAACAAAUACUUGUAUUUUUUUGAGAAGGGCAACCCGCAGAUCACUGUUGCUACCAUCCAGGGGCUAAUUGAAUUGAUCACAACCGAAAUGCAAAGCGACAGUACUACUCCGGAUUCAUCGGCAGAUGCAUUCUUUG